AGUGAACGCUGGCGGUAGGCCUAACACAUGCAAGUCGAACGGCAGCACAGUAAGAGCUUGCUCUUACGGGUGGCGAGUGGCGGACGGGUGAGGCAUACAUCGGAAUCUACUUUUUCGUGGGGGAUAACGUAGGGAAACUUACGCUAAUACCGCAUACGACCUACGGGUGAAAGCAGGGGUUCUUCGGACCUUGCGCGAUUGAAUGAGCCGAUGUCGGAUUAGCUAGUUGGCGAGGUAAGGGCCCACCAAGGCGACGAUACGUAGCUGGUCUGAGAGGAUGAUCAGCCACACUGGAACUGAGACACGGUCCAGACUCCUACGGGAGGCAGCAGUGGGGAAUAUUGGACAAUGGGCGCAAGCCUGAUCCAGCCAUACCGCGUGGGUGAAGAAGGCCUUCGGGUUGUAAAGCCCUUUUGUUAGGAAAGAAAAACAGCAUGUGUAUACCCCGCUGUUCUGACGGUACCCAAAGAAUAAGCACCGGCUAACUUCGUG
rnacentral:rRNA from 1 species